CAUGUCUUUUUGAUUAUAAUUUAAGGUCUAAUCUGCUCAAUGAGGAUUUAAAUUGCCGCGGUAUCUUGACCGUGCAAAGGUAGCAUAAUAAUUAGUUUUUUUAUUGAAAGCUGGAAUGAAUGAUUGGACGAGAGAAUAGCUGUCUCUGAGCAAUUUUUUUUUUAAUUUAACUUUUAAGUAAAAAGGCUUAAAUAUUUAUUAAAGACGAGAAGACCCUAUAGAGUUUUAUACUAAUUAUUUGCUUAUCUUGUGGUAUUUUUUGGUAUGUAUUUGUUUUACUAUUUGGUUGGGGUGAUUAAAAGAUUUAUUAAACUCUUUUUUAUUUUAUCAUUGAUUUUUGAUUUUUGAUUCUGGAUUUUCCAAGUUUAAGAAAAAUUACCUUAGGGAUAACAGCGUAAUUUCUUUUUAGAGUUCUUAUUGAAAAAGGAGUUUGCGACCUCGAUGUUGGAUUAAAAUUUAUUUUUGGUGCAGAAGCUUUAUAUAUUAAGUCUGUUCGACUUUUAAAAUUUUACAUGAUCUGAGU
rnacentral:rRNA from 1 species